CGGGACGGGUGAGUAACGCGUGGGUAACCUACCCUGUACACACGGAUAACAUACCGAGAGGUAUGCUAAUACGGGAUAAUAUAUUUGAGAGGCAUCUCUUGAAUAUCAAAGGUGAGCCAGUACAGGAUGGACCCGCGUCUGAUUAGCUAGUUGGUAAGGUAACGGCUUACCAAGGCGACGAUCAGUAGCCGACCUGAGAGGGUGAUCGGCCACAUUGGAACUGAGACACGGUCCAA
rnacentral:rRNA from 1 species